CUAGACAUAUCAACUCAGGAUAUGUCUACCAUUUCUUCUCUAUCUACUUGUUUCCCAUCCAGUCUGGGACCAGAGCAGCCUGUUGCCCUUGAAGAAGAUGAAGACAUACACAGCAGAACUGUAAACG